GGGGUCGGGCCGUUAUUCGAAGCGCCGGCGUCUCGCUGCGCAACAUCAAAAGUGCGGGAAAAACAACGCAGUUCAUGUCCCGUGGCCCACUUUGCGCUAUUAUUACAGAGCGGGCCGGCGGGUCGGAGCGGCAGGGUGCCAUUAGCGGGGGUGGGGGGGGGGGGGGGUCCGAGGCUUGACGGAGGAGAUGAAAUUACACCUGAUCUGGUAGCUGACUAACAACUUUGAAAUGUGAGCACACCUUGUUCGCCGCCCAAAUCAUUUUCCCAACAACAAUACGUCUCCACUCUUUCAGUAAGCAAAAUGGGAAGGAAAUGCUGAUGUCACGCACAGAUUGCGCUGCGGCGGCGGCGGAGCGCCUAUGUGUUCACGUUUGUUCAUUUGAGGGACGCUAAAAACUCAGUUUGUGUCUUGGAGUACAAUUUGAUUUCUGAAGACAGUCGUCAUCACUUACCAUUUGCUCGUUGUGGUCCUGUGAGGCCUCCAUAGCUCGUGGCCUUCAAACGUCCAACUGCAAAAAAACAAAAAGAACAAAAUCCUUUUUUUCCCGUGACCUCUCACUGGGGGCGGCAAACAAUUUGAACUUAUUAUUAUUGUCCUAUCAUCAUUAUUAUGACAACCUGAUGUGCUAUAAAUGAGGGCAGAUUCAGACUCGGCACAAAAAUGUAAUCCAGAGAAUGCUUACUUCUGUGUGCGUGUGUGUGUGUGUGCGUGCGCGUGUGUUGAUGUGUCAGUGCGGGGUUCCAUCAGUGUGUUUAUGUGUGAGCAACAGGAGACGGACGGGAGGCGGCCGGCCGGCGUAUCGUCUUCAGUUGAGGGCCAAGUGGAGAGAUAAUUGCACAAGUAAAUAUCAACAAUGAAAAGAGAGACGCGUAAAUGAUCCGAGCGCUUGGCCCACAGACGCAGUCCGGGACAAGGACGCCGACCGGACCGGACGACGGCAUUGUGACGUGAUUGUGUGACAAGGUGAGACGGAGAAGAUUCAAAUGCCCGCCAUUAAAAACAAACAACAACAACAAAUGUCUAGAAUGUACAGACUGUAUAGAAUGAUGCUCUAUAUUGCUAUAAGAUACGAUAUUAAAGUGCUAUUUUUCUAAUAAAUAUUUGUAUCAUGUAUUUUUUUUUUUUUGCAUUUGCAUUCACUGCUAAGGGGAGUUCCAAUUUAUGUUGCUCGUCAGUGACUAAUUUGACUUGAGCAGCGUAUCUAAAUGUGGCAGGCAGGACCGACAUUUCCCCGCUGGCUAAGAGUCAAACGUCCUUUUCAUUUUCCACCGCCGGCCCUCGGCUGCAACCCAAGACAAUAACGCAUCUCUCGGGCCAAUCCAUUUGCGCACUCGCGCCGCCGAUACCGCCGGGACACGCCCUCCCCUUUCUGUGAAAUUCCUCUGACAUGAACGUUCUCUUCAAAGCUGGACCGAAUCGUAGGCUUUGCCCACUGCCUCCAUUUGGCCCGGCGGGGAUGAGAGCUCACCUGACACUGCGCGCAGAAUCAAUGAUGCCUGCCAUUUCCUCCACAGUGCCUCAAGAGAGAAUUGUAUUUCUCAACUGUAAGAGCGUCAACUUUGUGAGAACGACCCCCGCAAAAUUGCCAAAAGGCCUUCGUUAGGACGAAGCGCGGGAAGCCGACGGCCGCCGCCACCCUGCCUUACCAACAAAACGUACAGCGCGGGAUUGCCCUCUGUUGCCAAGCAACACUUCCGGAUCCGUUGUUGUACUUCCGUCUUUGUGGGGGGGGGCUCAAAUGUGUUCAUUCGUGCUUAAAAUAAACCAUGAAUACCUGA